rnacentral:rRNA from 1 species
GACGGAGGAGGCAAGCGUUAUCCGGAAUUAUUGGGCGUAAAGGGUACGUAGGCGGCUGGUCAAGUCUGGGGUUAAAGGCCACAGCUCAACUGUGGGAAGGCCCUGGAAACUGACCGGCUAGAGUGAGGUAGGGGUUGCGGGAAUUCCCGGUGUAGCGGUGAAAUGCGUAGAGAUCGGGAAGAACACCUGAGGCGGAAGCGCGCAACUGGACCUUUUCUGACGCUGAGGCGCGAAAGCUAGGGGAGCAAACGGG